rnacentral:rRNA from 1 species
AGCUAACGCAUUAAGUGCCCCGCCUGGGGAGUACGAUCGCAAGAUUAUACUCAAAGGAAUUGACGGGGCCCCGCACAAGCAGCGGAGCAUGCGGCUUAAUUCGACGCAACGCGAAGAACCUUACCAAGGCUUGACAUAUACAGGAAUAUGGCAGAGAUGUCAUAGCCGCAAGGUCUGUAUACAGGUGGUGCAUGGUUGUCGUCAGCUCGUGUCGUGAGAUGUUGGGUUAAGUCCCGCAACGAGCGCAACCCUCGUUCUGUGUUGCCAGCAUUUAGUUGGGGACUCACAGGAGACUGCCGGGGUUAACUCGGAGGAAGGUGGGGAUGACGUCAAAUCAUCAUGCCCCUUAUGUCUUGGGCUGCACGCAUGCUACAAUGGCUGGUACAAACGGCUGCGAUACCGCAAGGUGGAGCGAAUCCGAUAAAGCCAGUCUCAGUUCGGAUUGGGGUCUGCAACUCGACCCCAUGAGGUCGGAGUUGCUAGUAAUCGUAGAUCAGCAACGCUACGGUGAAUACGUUCCCGGGGCUUGUACACACCGCCCGUCACGUCACGAAAGUCGGUAACACCCGAA